rnacentral:rRNA from 1 species
UACGUAGGCAGCGAGCGUUGUUCGGAGUUACUGGGCGUAAAGGGUGUGUAGGCGGUUGUUUAAGUUUGGUGUGAAAUCUCCCGGCUCAACUGGGAGGGUGCGCCGAAUACUGAAUGACUAGAGUGCGGGAGAGGAAAGUGGAAUUCCUGGUGUAGCGGUGAAAUGCGUAGAUAUCAGGAAGAACACCCGUGGCUAAGGCGGCUCUCUAGUACGGUACUGACGCUGAGACGCGAAAGCGUGGGGAGCGAACAGG